AGUGAACGCUGGCGGUAGGCCUAACACAUGCAAGUCGAACGGCAGCACAGUAAGAGCUUGCUCUUACGGGUGGCGAGUGGCGGACGGGUGAGGAAUACAUCGGAAUCUACUUUUUCGUGGGGGAUAACGUAGGGAAACUUACGCUAAUACCGCAUACGACCUACGGGUGAAAGCAAGGGAUCUUCGGACCUUGCGCGAUUGAAUGAGCCGAUGUCGGAUUAGCUAGUUGGCGGGGUAAAGGCCCACCAAGGCGACGAUCCGUAGCUGGUCUGAGAGGAUGAUCAGCCACCCUGGAACUGAGACACGGUCCAGACUCCUACGGGAGGCAGCAGUGGGGAAUAUUGGACAAUGGGCGCAAGCCUGAUCCAGCCAUACCGCGUGGGUGAAGAAGGACUUCGGGUUGUAAAGCCCUUUUGUUGGGAAAGAAAAGCAGCACGUUAAUACCCCGCUGUUCUGACGGUACCCAAAGAAUAAGCACCGGCUAACUUCGUG
rnacentral:rRNA from 1 species